rnacentral:rRNA from 1 species
GACGAACGCUGGCGGCGUGCUUAACACAUGCAAGUCGAACGGAAAGGCCCUGCUUGCAGGGUGCUCGAGUGGCGAACGGGUGAGUAACACGUGGGUGAUCUGCCCCUUACUUUGGGAUAAGCCUGGGAAACUGGGUCUAAUACUGGAUAGGACCAUGCUGUAGGUGGUGUGGUGGAAAGAUUAGUUUCGGUAAGGGAUGAGCUCGCGGCCUAUCAGCUUGUUGGUGGGGUAAUGGCCUACCAAGGCGUCGACGGGUAGCCGGCCUGAGAGGGUGGACGGCCACAUUGGGACUGAGAUACGGCCCAGACUCCUACGGGAGGCAGCAGUGGGGAAUUUUGCACAAUGGGCGCAAGCCUGAUGCAGCGACGCCGCGUGGGGGAUGACGGCCUUCGGGUUGUAAACUCCUUUCAGCCAUGACGAAGCCCUUGUGGUGACGGUAGUGGUAGAAGAAGCACCGGCUAACUACGUG